AGAGUUUGAUCCUGGCUCAGGACGAACGCUGGCGGCGUGCUUAACACAUGCAAGUCGAACGAGGGCCCGGAGCUUGCUCCGGUGACCCGAGUGGCGGACGGGUGAGUAACACGUGACCAACCUACCUUCGGGAGGGGGACAACCUGGGGAAACCCGGGCUAAUACCGCAUAUCGUCCACGGGCCGCAUGGCCUGUGGAUAAAAGGGAGCCUCUGCUUGCAUGCUCUCACCCGAAGAGGGGGUCGCGGCGUAUCAGCUAGUUGGUGGGGUAAUGGCCUACCAAGGCAUCGACGCGUAGCGGGUCUGAGAGGACGACCCGUCACAUUGGGACUGAGAUACGGCCCAGACUCCUACGGGAGGCAGCAGUGGGGAAUAUUGCGCAAUGGCCGAAAGGUUGACGCAGCGACGCCGCGUGUGGGAGGACGCCCUUCGGGGUGUAAACCACUGUCAGGGGGGAAGAACUUCGCAGGUGUGAAUAGCGCUUGCGGUUGACGGUACCCCCAGAGGAAGCGCCGGCUAACUCCGUGCCAGCAGCCGCGGUAAGACGGAGGGCGCAAGCGUUGUUCGGAAUUACUGGGCGUAAAGGGCAGGUAGGUGGUCUGUUAAGUCUUCUGUGAAAAUCCGGGGCUCAACCCCGCGAAAUGCAGGUGAAACUGGCAGACUUGAGACCGGUAGAGGCUAGCGGAAUUCCUGGUGUAGC
rnacentral:rRNA from 1 species